CACACGCGAAUACCCCAGGCAGAGAUUCUGUAGGUAAUCUUUGCCGUCCAAGGCUAAACCUGACAUAAGGGGCACAGGUGGAUGCCUCUGGUGCUCGCCCCUCUUGCUCCUGCUGCUGCGCUUCAGGUGCUCAGAGAAACGGGCCUUUGCCAUCGCAAAGUGGGGCCGCCUCAGCCCCGUCGCCAUGGCCGCGCUCCCGGUUGGGCUGGGCUGGGGAUGGUCCCGUCACCCGCCCCAAAGCCGCCGUCUUCCCAGACACCCUGGAGGGAGGAUGAGGAGGAGAGGAAGUGCCCCAGGAUCUGCCAAGGUGGACAUUAGCAGAGGAAGCCAGUGAUGGACAGAGACCUACCAGAUUUGAGCAAUGCACUCAAAUACCUUGAGAAGAGCUUCAUCAAACAUGGUACAGAGACAGCCUCCAGUAGCAGAUAAGGAUAAAUACAUUUAAACUAUAUAAUAUGUGUUCAAAUACUUUAAAUAAUAUAUAAAACCUCUGUUCUCUAGG